AGUUGCUCAUUCAGCUUCUUAUGUCGGCCCACAUUAGGUGGAGAAAUGCCACAUAAACUAUCGAAUGAUGCCAGAGUAAGGUGCCUACCGUCCAACUCAGUGAUAUCGCUUUCGAGCCUUAUCAAACAUCGGGCGACACGUGGAGUGAGGCACCACCUA
rnacentral:sRNA from 22 species